rnacentral:rRNA from 1 species
UACGUAGGGGGCAAGCGUUGUCCGGAUUUAUUGGGCGUAAAGAGCGUGUAGGCGGCCAGGUAGGUCGGUUGUGAAAACUCGAGGCUCAACCUCGAGACGCCGAUGGAAACCAUCAGACUAGAGUCCGGAAGAGGAGAGUGGAAUUCCUGGUGUAGCGGUGAAAUGCGCAGAUAUCAGGAGGAACACCGAUGGCGAAGGCAGGUCACUGGGCCGCAACUGACGCUGAGGAGCGAAAGCAUGGGGAGCGAACAGG